UUCUUUCGGGUCUGUAGUUGCGGAAGUCGAAUUCUCGCUUCUUAGCCCAUGGCAGAUGCGGUCUAAAGGGUCCACGUAAGCUGCGUUCACCCGCAGCGAGCACGGCGUAUCCUAGGAGUAAGUCGCACCUCCCGGUGGUUUUGCGACAAGUGGUCGCCCGGGGGAGAGGGCAGAGCGCAAGCGAACCCCCCGUGCGCGAGUGUGGGGUCGAAAACUAGGUCAGCCGAAAGAA
rnacentral:ncRNA from 23 species